GGGGGCGUACUGGUUUCGACUGUUGACUCGAGACACAGGCGGCAUGUCGUGGAAGCCUGGUUGGCCACGUUAAACUCCCGGGCAAACAAAUAAACGCGAACGAUUACGAAGAUCUCGCUCUUGCGGCUUAAUUGACCGCAUCGAAGUGGCCCCGACGCCUGCUGAGUGCCACUUCGACGACCAGCAGGCUAUACCCAGGGCGGAGCGACCGCGCCCCAGGCAAAUUCGAUUCGUGGAUGCUCGGGGAACGGUAGCCCGCCCGUCGGCAGCCGUUCUCCUAAAUCAAAGGCGAAGCUAAACAUGUAGAUGCCGGUGAUGACAGCCAUCAGGACAGGGGUUCAACUCCCCUCGCCUCCACUU
rnacentral:tmRNA from 1 species